GUGCAUUCCGCUCCAUGCAAAUGCAAAGUUAUUUUAGUUUUGCAUUGAUAAAUUUAUUUUCUUGCCAAACUAUUUUUAGUUGUGAUGGGUGCAAACACAAAUUCCUAGAUUGGAAUCUACCUUUUUUCUUAUAUUGACCAAUUUUGAGUGCAAAGUUUGCAUCCAUUUUUUGGAUGCAAACUUUUCUCUCAUUUUGUAUGCAAACAUGCCUUGAAAUUUGUAAAAACUGUCACUUUCAAUACAUAAAUACAUUCUUACCAAGCAAUAGUAAAAAUGAACCAAAGUGAUAUAUGAAUUGAACUGACAUUUGCACUCUUCCUAAACGGAGACUAAAGAAACUUGUUUUUCUAUGUUAGUGAAACGAUUCUUGUUGCUUAGUUGGUUUCAAUUGGAGAAAAUGGAGGUAUUUUGGGUCAAUUAGGGCUUAAGAGAAAAGGGCGAAUCUAAUAGCUAGGGUUUAAGAGUAAAGGGCGAAUCUAAUGGCUAGGGUUUAAGAGAAAAGGGCUAAUUCCAUGUUGGUGAAAUGAUUCUUGUUGCUUAGCUGGUUUCAAUUGGUAAUUUAUUGCAUUUUGUCAUCUGAUUUAAUGGCCAGGGGAAUACAUGUUGCAAAGUGAAAGUUCAGGGGUAAUUUUCACUAACCCCAUAGUAUGGGGGUCUUCGUAAUUUACCCUAUUUUUUCGAUAAAAAUGUUAAACCUCCCUUAGCUUUUCUCCAAAAUACUGAAACCUCCCCUCUCUUUUAGAAUUGGACUAAGACCUCCCUGUUGGAGUUAUCUUUAACAGAAUUGUAGAAAGUCUCUUUUACCUAUUAAUUCUUUAAAUUUUCAAAUAAAGACAAAGAUAAUCUCAUUAUAAACCAUCGAGCUAUAUAGGCUGGUCAAACCCUGCUUGCAUAUGGUUGCUUUGAACACAUUAGGAGAAUGGCAGUCGUCUAGUAGUCUGUUGAAGAAGAAUACUACUUCUUCCCAUGGAGAUAGUCAGGAAAUGAUCUAUUCCUGAUGAAGUCUCCGUGACUCCAUCCUCUAUGUCACCUUGGAGAAUGACAAUCCAACAUACUAUCCUAAGAAAAUACACUCGGUCAAUAAUUUCUAUUGGCCUCUACUACAAUGAAGCUUGUUAAAACAGUAAUUUGUAUUUUGUAUUUAGUUCUAGGUUUUUGGAACUAGAAACUACCUUGUCAAGAUUGGUUCUAAGGUUGGUGCAAUUUUAAAGAACAUAUUCCAUAGCCAAACCUAGAAUUGAUCUUAAAACUACAUCGGCCUUAGAAUUGAUCUUAGCAAGGUAGAUUCUGGUUUUAAAAACCUAGAACUGACCCUUACAAAGUAGAUUUUAGGUUCUACCUUGGAACCUACAUCUUUCCACCGAACCCUUCCUCUGGCGGCAACAAGGAGACCUCCGGUGGUUCAUCAACGGUGACAGAUGGACAUACCCGAAGUGUUAAGUUGAACCAUUUAUCUCUAGGCUUGACACUCGAAGACGAAGAUGAGGACGAUGGGGGAGACGAGAGAGUCUGCUCUCCACUGUAAUUCCAUGAGGAAACGCAUGGAGACUUGGACUCUAUUGUUAUGUGUAAGCUCUUUGUAAAAAACUCAGUAAUUAUCUGCUCAAUUUUUUCU